GUACUGCCCAGCUAGGCAGUAUUGUAGUUGUAAGAUCUGUCCCACCUGUAUGACCUGUCUUCUGGACUGCCACAACCACGUCUGUGAGGUGAACUGCAGACCCCCUGUUGCCAAUCUCCUGGGCUGCCACAGGAAGGCUGGCAUUUCACCGGUGCUAUACUGAUUUGCAAGGAAUUGGCAGAAAUGUGACCCAGAGUGAAGGAAACAAUGCCUGCCCUCCCCAGCUGCCCUUCUUCUCAUGCUCCCUGUCUCAGCAUGAUCCAGGAUUGAAUGGACAAGGAAAGCACAGGGAAGGGGACAAGGCAAAGAAGGAUGGACUGAGUCCUACUGUUCAGCUCUUCCUUUCCAUCGCAGGCACUAACACUUUAGAUCUAGGUCCCUUCCCUUCUCACCUGUCUUAGUCUCCUAGAGAAACUCUUGGCCUCCCAUCUCACUUGCCCCCAACAUCCACACUUGGCCACAAAGAUUUGGUGAAAUAUGAAAUUGAGCAUUUUAUACUCUUGCUUAAAACACUUCCCUGCUUCUCAUCAAUCUAAGCAUAAACAUUCUUAACUUUAUCGCCCUUCUUGUCAGACUUCAAACUCCCCAUCCAUACAAGUCUCUUACCAUAUACCAGCAUUUUGUUUGUUUCCUAAAUUGAACAGAACUUCACUGAUAGCCCCCAAGAACACUCUGAUCUCUAAUGUCAGACUUUGCCCAUACCCCUGCCUUUGCUCUGUCCAGGGCUCCUGGAUGAUCUUCCUUUACCUGGGCAGUGGGUUUACUCCCCCUGAAGGGCUCAAGAUAGGUGUUUCUUGCUCUGGAAAAUAUUUCCAGACUAUGGGCUCUAUUAGGCAGUCCCCCUUUGUUCCGUCAGAGACUGGGUGCACCCCACAAUCCUACGCCCACCACACUUUUUUGUAAUUGUUUGUCUCCAGGCCUGCCUGAUCUCCCCAUAUUAUGCUCAGGGGCAUCCAAAACUCUGCUCUGUGUCCUUAGUCCCUGGUAGCACACCUGGUGAAGAGUAAAUGAGGAUUCUAGAAAUAUUACUUAUUUUUAGACCAUCAAUCACAUAACGGCGUUACUGGAAGAUUUGAUUGAAUCAAGGACAGAAGACUUCAAGACAGAAGACUUGAAACAAGGGACUGUCUCAGAAAAUCCAGGCAUAUGGCUAUUGUAACACAACACCUGUCUGGUGUAUUUGCAAUGAAAAGAUUUUCAAGACUCAAA